CCUACGGGGGGCAGCAGUGGGGAAUAUUGGGCAAUGGGCGCAAGCCUGACCCAGCAACGCCGCGUGAAGGAAGACGGCCUUCGGGUUGUAAACUUCUUUUGACAGGGAAGAGCAGAAGACGGUACCUGCCGAUUAAGCUACGGCUAACUACGUGCCAGCAGCCGCGGGAAUACGUAGGUCGCCAGCGUUGUCCGGAUUUACUGGGUGUAAAGGGAGUGUAGCCGGGCUGACAAGUCAGAUGUGAAAUCCGGGGGCUCAACCGCCGAACUGCAUUUGAAACUGUUGGUCUUGAGUAUCGGAGAGGCAGGCGGAAUUCGUGGUGUAGCGGUGAAAUGCGUAGAUAUUAGGAGGAACACCAGUGGCGAAGGCAGCCUGCUAAACGGCAACUGACAGUGAGGCGCGAAAGCGUGGGUAGCAAACAGGAUUAGAUACCCUUGUAGUC
rnacentral:rRNA from 1 species